UGCAUAUCCCAUAGCGGAGGAAAAGAAACCAACAGGGAUUGCCUCAGUAACGGCGAGUGAAGCGGCAAAAGCUCAAAUUUGAAAUCCCCCCGGGGAGUUGUAAUUUGAAGAUUGCGUCUUGGAGGCGACCGUGUCUAUGUUCCUUGGAACAGGACGUCACAGAGGGUGAGAAUCCCGUGCGGCACGGCCCCCGGCUCCUUAUAAGGCGCUCUCGACGAGUCGAGUUGUUUGGGAAUGCAGCUCAAAGUGGGUGGUAAAUUCCAUCUAAAGCUAAAUACAGGCGAGAGACCGAUAGCGAACAAGUACAGUGAUGGAAAGAUGAAAAGCACUUUGAAAAGAGAGUGAAACAGCACGUGAAAUUGUUGAAAGGGAAGGGCAUGCCGUCAGAUUGUCAGUGUGGGUAAGAAGCGGGGUACAAAGACUGUGGAACGUGGCCCUCGGGUGUUAUAGCCGCAGUUCAUGCCCCGUCUCUUUCCGAGGCCUGCUUUGAGGACACCGACGUAAUGACGGUACGCCGCCCGUCUUGAGACACGGACCAAACAG
rnacentral:rRNA from 1 species